GCGCCCGUAGCUCAAACUGGAUAGAGCGGCAGGCUUUGUCUCUGGCAAUGCAGGUUCGAAUCCUGCCGGGCGCACCA
rnacentral:tRNA from 2 species